rnacentral:rRNA from 1 species
UACGUAGGGGGCAAGCGUUGUCCGGAAUCAUUGGGCGUAAAGCGCGUGUAGGCGGCUCGAUAAGUCUGCUGUGAAAGUCCAGGGCUCAACCCUGGGAUGCCGGUGGAUACUGUCGGGCUCGAGUCCGGAAGAGGCGAGUGGAAUUCCUGGUGUAGCGGUGAAAUGCGCAGAUAUCAGGAGGAACACCAAUGGCGAAGGCAGCUCGCUGGGACGUGACUGACGCUGGGACGCGAAAGCGUGGGGAGCAAACAGG